ensembl:lncRNA
UACUAAUUGCAUAUUUUUGCUCUCACUCACUCACUCUCACCUACAUUUUUUUCCCCUUGCAGAUUCAAAAGAACCAGGGUUCCUUAAUGCCUCUUCAGUUAUUGCAGUGCAUUGUCGAUGAGGAUCCUCCGGUGCUUCCAAUUGGUCAGUUCAGUGAGAAAUUUGUCCACUUCACUACACAAUGGUGAGUGUUUCCAAUAUCAACCGAACACCUAUUUCUUCUCUUUUACCUCUCAUAAAUAAAUAAAUCCUUAUCAUGGUGUAAAGAAUUUGCAUUGAUAAGCCACAACACAAAAACAUUUUAUUAAAUAAAAAAGUUAAUACAUUCAGGACAUUGAAACAUACUAGAGCUAAUC